CCAAAGACAUGGGCGCAUGAACAGGGAUGGACAGGGUAUGGGAGGAGACUGCAUUCUUCUGCUCAUCCCACUCCAAUCCAUCCAUGUCCCCGUUCCUACACCCCA